GCAAUCGAGCCCAGAGACGGAUGGAGGGCGGGCGGGCGGCCAGUCCGAGUAACCGAGCGCCGAGUCCCAGCUCCCUGGAUCUACUGACAAACCCUCACCUUCACCUUCAGGCCAGGUCGAGAGGACUUCCCCUCACCACGAAUACCAUGUAAUCCCAUGCUACCUGCUCCAUGGUCGGAUAGUCGGCCACUAAACUGUCUCCCCCAACUGGUUUGCCAGGUGAGGAGGGGGCUGUGGACCCCCAGCAGAACCAAAAACAAGACCUGUAAAAGGGCGGAUGAGCUUCUAGCGAGCCAACAGCCAUCCACACUUCAGUAGAAGUUGCGAUCAUAAGGAAUGAUGAUAAAGUACACACACCAAAAUCCUAUACUUCCAGCGGCGGAAGUCCGCAGGAACUGGAGAACAGAGAUGUGUGGUGCGUCCGUCACCGUUCCCAAUGGAAUCCAGCACUACUGGAUUCUUAAAAUCCGAUUCAGAAACCUGAAAACUUAGGAUAUGUUACUAUAUAUUGUAAAUAACAGUAAUAUAUUAUAAAUAUUGUACGCUAAAUAAAUUG